rnacentral:lncRNA from 1 species
AGGGUCAGGUUCUGGACUCUAGGAGGAAGCAUUGGCUCUUUGGGACAGUGAUCCAAAACCCACGCUCAAGCUUUCAGAGCCGGAAAGAGAGUGGGAGGGUGGGGGGCGGUGAGCCGGAGACCUUAUCUCUCAGACUCCGCCUCCCCAAGACACAGAGAAAGUUUCAGAAUGCAGCUAGUUGAGUCUUCCAUCCACUAGGCUGCUGAGAGGCGGCCAGUGCUAGAAAAGCAACGGAGGGACGUAGCUGGAUUGGAACACAGGUUUCUCUCAGUCUUUCUGCAUAGUGUCCUUUGGGGAAGCUUGCGAGCUCUGGAUUGCCUCACCUGCCCAGAAGAAUUUGAGGGUUGUGGGAAGUGUGGAGCGCUCUGCUGGCUGCUGACUCCUCUCUUCUCGUUCCCGGCUAUUUGGGCUCCCCUUGAGAGCUCCAGAUAAUAAAGGAAGGAGAGAAGAUUAUAUGAUGGCACUAACCUAAUCUCAGCUAAAAAUGCAGAAGUUUACUCUAAGUACAGAGGAUGUGGUGGGAGUUUGAGCUGAAAAAAAAUGUGGAAUCAGACACCAUCAGGAAGGAGAUAAUAUUAAGCAAGAAGAGGUGAGAAGAAUCCUUAUUUGGAAAGUAUGAGGGCUCACGUGAAGUUUUCAUCUUAAAUUUGUAGUGGGUAAAUCAGCUUCAUUUCAUAACUUUCUUUAGCAGUGCUCAGCAGACCAGGAAUCAAAGUGAAAACCUUAUGAUGGUAGUGAUCACACUGGCUUCAGGUAAGGAAUGUGAGAACAUUUUGAGUUUGAAAGAUUCUCAAGUGGUGCCUAUAAAUGAUGAUUAAAUAGUAGAAAAUGGGUGCGAAGGUAAGUUUGGAAGUGAAGUAAAGCCCAAUUGAAGAUGAGCCUUGAUGUCAGUAUCAUUUAAUAUGAAUGAAUGAAAGGGAGGAAUCUGGAAGGUUAGGAAGUUAUGAUUGGAGAAUGUGAUUUUAAAGUUCAAAUUCUUGGAAUUAGUACAAUUAUAUGACAUAGUCACAUCUAACAUGUGAUGGUGUUAAUACGUGGCAUGUUACAAAGUUGAUUGAGUGCAUGAGAUCAUCUCAUCCAAGCUCUCCUUGAAUAGAUGAGAUGAAGCUUAGAAAAGUGUAAUGAUGUGCUUAAUAUCACAGCUUGUUGUUGUUUGUCCUUCAUUCUCAAAGAAGACCAGGACAUAAGGUAGAUGAUGCCAUGACCUGCAAAUGAAAUGGAUUAAGUGAGGGAGGGCUGUACAAGGUCAGCUGCCUCACUUUUCCC